rnacentral:rRNA from 1 species
AAUUUUGGACAAUGGGGGAAACCCUGAUCCAGCCACCCCGCGCGUAUGAUGAAGCCCUUCGGGCUGUAAAGUACUUUUGGCAGUGAAGAAAAGGUAUCUACUAAUACGAGAUACUGCUGACGGUAUCUGCAGAAUAAGCACCUGCUCACCACUUGCCAGCAUCCGCGGUAAUACGUAGGGUGCAAGCGUUAAUCGGAAUUACUGGGCGUAAAGCGUGUGUAGGCGGUUCGGAAAGAAAGAUGUGAAAUCCCAGGGCUCAACCUUGGAACUGCAUUUUUAACUGCCGAGCUAGAGUAUGUCAGAGGGGGGUAGAAUUCCACGUGUAGCAAUGAAAUGCGUAGAUAUGUGGAGGAAUACCGAUGGCGAAGGCAGCCCCCUGGGAUAAUACUGACGCUCAGACACGAAAGCGUGGGGAGCAAACAGG